rnacentral:pre_miRNA from 1 species
UGUGUACUCCCUCCAUUCCAAAAUACUUGACUUCCAUUUGUCCAAAAAUGGAUGUACCUAUAUACGAAGACAUGUCUAGAUACAUAUAUAUUUUGACAAAUAGAAGGCAUGUAUUGUGCAACGGAGGGAGUAGAAU